ensembl:lncRNA
GAAGUACACAUUCAGACAGUAUCACUUUUACCUUCUGAAAGUUUAAUCCAUGCUAAUACUCUAAAAGAGUCCUUAUCUUGACCACUUUUACAAUUGUAGUAUCUGAUCAUUUCUCUGCUUCCAAUUUUAUUGCUUUUCCUUAUCCAAGUAAGAUAGGGAAAUCUAUAUCUCCCUUCUAGAGAUGUAGACAUUGAUUAUUCAUGUUCAAGAUUGUGUCUGCUGGAGGAACAUAGUGGGGGAUCCAUGGGCCUGCAGUGAGGAAGAGCCCUUCUUGCUGUAAGUCACCUGCACAGAGGAUGCUGAGGCUUCUCUCCUGGCUACAGCACAGGAAGGGUUUGCCAAAACAUGCAAGUUGAACCAGGCCAAACAUGUUAUCCCUCUCCAAGGGAAAAUGAGCUAGAAGGACAUAUUUUUCCAAGGAUGACAAACUAACAAAUAUUGUCUGGAAAUAAAAGAAAUGGGGCAUUCAUAUUUACUGAAGUUGUCCAGAAACAAAGCAUACUGAAGGCAGGUGGAAGACAUGGCAAGUAAGGCUGCUGUUUUCUUUUAUGAAGUAGUUGAUGCUUUGUUUAGUUGAGAAGUCUUUCUCCACCCUUGCUUCAGAGGCUGUUGUACUUGGUUCAGUUGAAACCUGCUAGAAACCUCUCUCACGGAGAUUUUGUUGCCAGGAAUGUGGGACAGAACAAGAAGAAUGUAUUUUUUGGUGCUGCUUUUACUAUGGUACACUGGAUGUUUCAGACGUGCUGGUGAAAAAUGUGGUUUUCACAGAUGGAACAAGAUGACUUCCUCAGUACUUCUUGAGGAGGUUUUAUGACAAUGUAAUUCUGCGUCUCUAUCACAGCUCACUAUGGUAAUCAAGCAAAAAUUUAGAAAUUCAGAAGUUGAGCUGAAUACCUUAAAUGAAAUGCUAGUUGCAGGGCAGUGAGUGAAAGAAAUAAGUGGCAUCGGCUCCAAGAUUUCAGAGCAAAUGAGCAGAAAUAUGCAAAUGAGAGGAGGCACAGUAUCUCAGCAUUGUUCCUGGAAAGCCUGACUUUCAAUAGUAACAUGCCAAACAUGACAACAGUGAUUGGAACCUGAGAUGUAUUAUAGGCAUAUAAGACAAAGGCCUGUGAAGCAGACCUGUGGUUGGUGUGUCUCAGCAGGCCAGAACAACUGCUAAUUUAAAUAGUUACCUGUUUAGAAGUAGUUAAAAUGAACAAAGCAAUAGUUUGAUGGAACACACCAGAAGUGACGGCGUAUUUUAGAAACAGCUUGGAUGUAGCACCAUCUACUGGCUGAAGGGUUUGCUGUGGGUUUUUUUCCUUCUGUUUUUAAGAAAAUCCAUUUAAAUCUCUACAAUAUUUUUAGUAAGUGUCCUUGUUAUUUCAAAGUCGAGCAUAAUCAUGAUGUAUUAUAAAUGAGAUCCAAAUGAUUGUUUCCAGAGUUGCAUGUGUGUCUCUGUAAAGGGCUGGCAGUGUUCAUUCUCUUUUGUUUGUUUCUCCAUUCCCUCCCACUCACUGGAAGGCUGAACAUGCUUGCCAGUUACAGCAUGCUGUUAUGGGGGGCUAGGAGUAUCUCCUGAUGAAAAGGUAAUCUUGCAUACAGAACAGGUUAUUUAUUUAUUAGAGCUAAGCAUACCACCUUAUACAGAUAUUCUGAUUCUCAUUAAAGUGACUGAGAAAAUUGUAAGGAAGGUGCACUGGUUGUAUUUCUAAUAUUCUGUCAUUUUAAGAGUACAAAUGGAAGGGUGAGAAGUGUUUGUUUCUUAUGUAAUGUAUAAUUUACCAUUUAAAUUUUAUAUUCCACAAUCAGUGGUUGUACCAAGAGUGGAGUUACUUCGUUCACUUUAAUCAAAUAUUUUUUUCUGAACUGAGCUAUGAUAAGGAGUUGAAUGAAUUAACCCAACUAUGCCACACGCUGCCUUCUUAGAAGAGAAACAGCAUAAAUCUCUUUAGUCAUUGAAAACCUCUUCUAACCUACAUGAUUCUGUAUAUGUACCCUGGUGUUAAUGCCUAACCGAGAAUUUAAACAUUGGGUUUUCUCAUUU